GAUUAUGGCUCAGGAUGAACGCUAGCUACAGGCUUAACACAUGCAAGUCGAGGGGCAGCAUGAUCUUAGCUUGCUAAGAUUGAUGGCGACCGGCGCACGGGUGAGUAACGCGUAUCCAACCUUCCCUAUAGUAGGGGAUAGCCCGUAGAAAUGCGGAUUAAUACCCUAUGUUGUAUUUUGAGGACAUCUGACGAAUACCAAAGGUUCACCGCUAUAGGAUGGGGAUGCGUCUGAUUAGGUUGUUGGCGGGGUAACGGCCCACCAAGCCUACGAUCAGUAGGGGUUCUGAGAGGAAGGUCCCCCACAUUGGAACUGAGACACGGUCCAAACUCCUACGGGAGGCAGCAGUGAGGAAUAUUGGUCAAUGGGCGAGAGCCUGAACCAGCCAAGUAGCGUGCAGGAUGACGGCCCUAUGGGUUGUAAACUGCUUUUAUGCGGGGAUAAAGUGAGGGACGUGUCCCUUAUUGUAGGUACCGCAUGAAUAAGGACCGGCUAAUUCCGUGCCAGCCGCGGC
rnacentral:rRNA from 1 species